GAGGAAUAUUGCCCAAUGGAGGAAACUCUGAGGCAGCGACGCCGCGUGGGUGAAGAAGGUCUUCGGAUCGUAAAGCCCUUUUCUGCGUGACGAGGAAGGACGGUAGCGCAGGAAAAAGUCUCGGCUAACUACGUGCCAGCAGCCGCGGUAAAACGUAGGAGGCAAGCGUUAUCCGGAGUUACUGGGCGUAAAGCGCGCGCAGGCGGAUGGAUAAGUGGGUUGUGAAAGCGCUCGGCUAAACCGGGCGAGGACAAAUCAGACUGUUCAUCUAGAGGCGGAUAGAGGAGCGUGGAAUUCCGGGUGUAGCGGUGAAAUGUGUAGAGAUCCGGAGGAACACCAGUGGUGCAAACGACGCUCUGGGUCCGAACUGACGCUGAGGCGCGAAAGCGUGGGGAGCGAACG
rnacentral:rRNA from 1 species